AGUGAACGCUGGCGGUAGGCCUAACACAUGCAAGUCGAACGGCAGCGCAGUACGAGCUUGCUCUUACGGGUGGCGAGUGGCGGACGUGCGAGGAAUGCAUCGUGAUCUACUUUUUCGUGUAGGAUAACGUAGCUAAACUUACGCUAAUACCGCAUACGACCUACGGGUGAAGGCAGUGGAUCUUCUGACCUUGCGCGGUUGGAUGAGCCGCUGUCGGAUUAGCUAGUUGGCCGGGUGAAGGCCCACCAAGUCGACGAUCCGUAGCUGGUCUGAGAGGAUGAUAAGCCACACUGGAAGUGAGACACGGUCAAGAGUACUACGGGAGGGCCCAGUGGGGAACAUUGGACAAUGGGGGCAAGCAUGAUCCAGCGAUCGCGAGUCGGUGAAGAAGGCGUUGGGGUUGUAAAGACGUUUUGUUGGGAAAGAAAAGCAGCAGGUUAAUACCAAGCUGGUCUGACGGUAAUCAAAGAAGAAGCACCGGCUAACUUCGUG
rnacentral:rRNA from 1 species